AUUGAACGCUGGCGGCAUGCCUAACACAUGCAAGUCGAACGAGAAAGGGGGGCAACCCCUGAGUAGAGUGGCGGACGGGUGAGUAAUACGUAGGAAUCUACCCUUAAGUGGGGGGUAACCCGAGGAAACUCGGGCUAAUACCGCAUAACCUCUUCGGAGCAAAGGGGCCUAGCAAUAGGUCUCGCUUUUGGAUGAGCCUACGCCGGAUUAGCUAGUUGGUAGAGUAAUAGCCUACCAAGGCGACGAUCCGUAGCUGGUUUGAGAGAACGACCAGCCACACUGGGACUGAGAUACGGCCCAGACUCCUACGGGAGGCUG
rnacentral:rRNA from 1 species